GAGGUAUGGCUCAGUGGUUGAGCACCUGCUUAGCAAGCAUGAGGCCCUGAGUUCAAUCCCCAGUACUGCCA